UUCAACCCCUUCAUACUUUCCCUGUUUUUUCGUCUGUCUUAACAGAAACCGAUAAAACUAAACAUGUCAACUUACAUUCCCAUUUGGCUUUAAGUUCCAGAUCGACAAAGAACGAAUUAAUCUGUGCAGUAAUCCAAUGGGAUAAAUUCAUCAUUUUUCGUGGGGAUAAUAUUAAAUAUUUCCACAAGUUAUCCGACUAUUUGUUCUGAAAUCGAUGAACAAUUUGUCGCCAAAGAAAACUUGUUUUUUAAUUAGCGUACGAGCCUGAACUUGGUCGUGAUCUGGUCAUGAUUCAUUUGACAUUUAGUGUUUUUGAACAUAACACAUUUUGCAAUUGCAGUCACAGCUAAAUGAUUGCUUUAGUUGUAUUUAUUUCUUUAGUCAUAAUUUUUUAGUGGACGAUCAGAUCGCCAUCGACAGUAGUUUGACAUUAGUAGACUGUGAAAUCUCUUCUUCUAGCAUGUAGCCAGUGAAUUGAAACUUGGUGCCGCCCUCUAUGUAAACACCUGGCGACAUGCCCUGCGGGAGAAUCAUCAAAAUGAUGUCAUCCCCAGCUGCCAAAUCGAUUUUCUAAAUUUUCUAAUUCUAUUCUACAGGCAAUUUGACCAAAGUAGAGGAGGACUUUAAUGAAAAAAUGCAAAACAUUUUCGUUGGGGCCGCUGAAAAGGCAUUCAAUGCCAUUGUGGACCAUUCAAGUCCAAGUCAACUCCUCUACUGUAUUUUGGCUGUUGCUGCGCUCGCUUUGGUUGGCCAUACCAAAAAAUUUUGCUUGAAGUGGCUAAAGAAAGGAUGGAGUUUUGCCUGUGGUUGUUGUCGUUGUCGUCGUCGUCGUUCCCCACGAAUUGCCCCCCAAAAUCCACAAGCGGACGAAGAGGAAAUGCAGCCGCUGCCGCCGCAGCAAAAUGAUUUACCGGUGGGAGUGGCUGUGAUCCCGCACCCACAAACCCUUGCACAAACCGCUCCGAUCGCUGAGCAGCCACUGAUGGAACGGGAAGAGGCUCCAACGCCAAUUCCCACGGCCUUCGAAUUUGUUAACGAAGCGAACCAAUUCAUAGAUGCCCGCAGAACUAAGGCUACAGAGACCGACGGUGAGUCGUAUUUUUUUGUAUCUCCCCCAGAUGUACAAAAAGCUAAUAUAGUUACUAUUUCCCAACGCAUUUAAAAAAAUUUGGACUGAGAAUUAAAAAUUCUGCUAUUCUCCCUGCUGUACCCCUUUUUCUGUCCGGCUAUGUUAAUCGGAUUAUUUAUUGAUGAAGUGAAAUACACCUAUGUUGAGCUUAA